UACGAAGGGGGGCUAGCGUUGCUCGGAUUGACUGGGCGUAAAGGGCGCGUAGGCGGUUCGUACAGUCAGACGUGAAAUUCCUGGGCUCAACCUGGGGGCUGCGUUUGAUACGUGCGGACUUGAGUGCGGAAGAGGGUCGUGGAAUUCCCAGUGUAGAGGUGAAAUUCGUAGAUAUUCGGAAGAACACCAGUGGCGAAGGCGACUUACUGGACACAUAUUGACGCUGAGGUGCGAAAGCGUGGGGAGCAAACAGG
rnacentral:rRNA from 1 species